rnacentral:rRNA from 1 species
ACGUAGGGUGCGAGCGUUAAUCGGAAUUACUGGGCGUAAAGCGUGCGCAGGUGGCUAUGUAAGUCAGGUGUGAAAUCCCCGGGCUUAACCUGGGAACUGCACUUGUGACUGCAUGGCUAGAGUACGUCAGAGGGAGGUAGAAUUCCGCGUGUAGCAGUGAAAUGCGUAGAGAUGCGAAGGAACACCGAUGGCGAAGGCAGCCUCCUGGGAUGACACUGACACUCAUGCACGAAAGCGUGGGGAGCAAACAG